UACGUAGGGUGCGAGCGUUAAUCGGAAUUACUGGGCGUAAAGCGUGCGCAGGCGGUUGUGCAAGACGGAGGUGAAAUCCCCGGGCUUAACCUGGGAAUGGCCUUUGUGACUGCACGGCUAGAGUGUGUCAGAGGGGGGUAGAAUUCCACGUGUAGCAGUGAAAUGCGUAGAGAUGUGGAGGAAUACCGAUGGCGAAGGCAGCCCCCUGGGAUAACACUGACGCUCAUGCACGAAAGCGUGGGGAGCAAACAGG
rnacentral:rRNA from 1 species